UUCGGGCCUUUUCGAAGCUACUUGUUCUCUGUAGAUAAUGAUAGUCAAAAAAGGCCUAUAGUAUGAACCCUGUACGGUCGCGGUUCGGACUUUGUGUCUUUACCGUAUUACCAAACGGGGCUUACAUUU